CGAUAAUGAUGAAUUCCACUUCAUGGUCCGUGUUUCUGAAAUCAAUGACUUGGUGGAAGUUCUGAUACC
rnacentral:snoRNA from 1 species